GGGGCCCGCCGCCCCGGCGCGGCAGGGAGCACCCCUUCCCUCUCCAGCCCCGGCUCUUCCAGCUUGGAAGCCGGGCGCCGGCUGCCAAGGCACAGCGAGCAGCUCAAGGGCCGGUCCCGGGAGCCUGGGAAAUGCCCCGUGCUGACUUGGGCCGUUUCCCUCGUGACAGGGAGCUGCCAAGCCGGGAAAUGCAGCCUGGCCUUGUUUCGCUCCUUUUGCAUGUGCAUGCAAGCUGGUGCAGAGGGCACAUGCGCUCGCUGCACCCGCCAGCUUUGCAACAGCCCUGUCACCCCACUUGGAGGGAGCACAGGAGGGUUUGGCACCUUGUUCUGGUGCCUUUUGAGCAUCCAGCACCUCUAGGUGCUCUUCGUAUUCGCGCCGUGUGAGAUGGAGGUGUCCUGGAGAGGCGCUCCUUUUGCAUGUGCAUGCAAGCUGGUGCAGAGGGCACAUGCGCUCGCUGCACCCGCCAGCUUUGCAACAGCCCUGUCACCCCACUUGGAGGGAGCACAGGAGGGUUUGGCACCUUGUUCUGGUGCCUUUUGAGCAUCCAGCACCUCUAGGUGCUCUUCGUAUUCGCGCCGUGUGAGAUGGAGGUGUCCUGGAGAGGGAGACAAGCCUCACACAUUUCUCUGUAGGCUUCGGGCAUGAAAACACCUGGAUCGGGCUCAAUGACCGGAUCGUGGAGCAGGACUUCCAGUGGACAGACAACACCGGCUUGCAAUAUGAGAACUGGCGGGAGAACCAGCCUGACAACUUCUUUGCGGGCGGUGAGGACUGCGUGGUGCUGGUGUCCCACGAGAUUGGCAAAUGGAACGACGUGCCCUGCAAUUACAAUCUGCCCUACAUCUGCAAGAAAGGCACAGCUUAAUUCUUCCCUCUCCACUUUAAUUUGCUUAAUUUGCCGCCAUUAAAACUAUUAAGUUCUCAUUCCUUAUCUUGAAAGUUAUAUUAACCUCCAGCUGUUCGUGCCGAGCCGGAGGAGUACGCCUCCCGCUCCCGCCGGCCACGUGUAAUGAUAUAUCUGUCCCGAUAAGGCCAUUAAUUAAAUAUGUAAAUCCUCGGCGAACACCUUGGUGCAAAACUGUCGGAGGAGCCUCUUGACGGACGGGAUUUAUAGCCAAGCCGUCCGCGG
rnacentral:lncRNA from 1 species